rnacentral:pre_miRNA from 1 species
AGAGGGAUAGCUGGGUCAAAUGGUGGUUCCAUUCCAGUUUUCCAAGGAAUCUCCAUACUGCUUUCCAGAUUGGCUGCUCCAAUUUGUAGUCCCACCAGCAAU